rnacentral:rRNA from 1 species
UACGGAGGGUGCAAGCGUUAUCCGGAUUCACUGGGUUUAAAGGGUGCGUAGGAGGGCAGGUAAGUCAGUGGUGAAAUCCCCGAGCUUAACUUGGGAACUGCCGUUGAUACUAUCUGUCUUGAAUGUUGUGGAGGUGAGCGGAAUAUGUCAUGUAGCGGUGAAAUGCUUAGAUAUGACAUAGAACACCAAUUGCGAAGGCAGCUCGCUACAUCAAUUAUUGACUCUGAGGCACGAAAGCGUGGGGAUCAAACAGG